rnacentral:rRNA from 1 species
UAGUGAUUAACGCGAAGAACCUUACCUGGGCUAGACAACGGCGGACCAUCCUAGAAAUAGGAUUUUCCUUUCGGGGACCGCCGGUUCAGGUGCUGCAUGGCUGUCGUCAGCUCGUGCCGUGAGGUGUUGGGUUAAGUCCCGCAACGAGCGCAACCCUCGUCCUUAGUUGCCACCAUUCAGUUGGGCACUCUAGGGAGACUGCCGGCGUUAAGCCGGAGGAAGGUGGGGACGACGUCAAGUCAUCAUGGCCCUUAUGUCCAGGGCCACACACGUGCUACAAUGGGCGGUACAAAGGGUCGCAAACCCGCGAGGGGGAGCCAAUCCCAAAAAGCCGCUCUCAGUUCGGAUUGGAGUCUGCAACUCGACUCCAUGAAGUUGGAAUCGCUAGUAAUCGCGGAUCAGCACGCCGCGGUGAAUACGUUCCCGGGCCUUGUCACACCGAAUCGAAUUC